rnacentral:rRNA from 1 species
UACGUAGGGGGCAAGCGUUGUCCGGAUUCAUUGGGCGUAAAGAGCUCGUAGGCGGCUUACUAAGUCGGGUGUGAAAUCCUCAGGCUCAACCUGGGGUCGCCACUCGAUACUGGUAUGGCUGGAGUCCGGUAGGGGACCACGGAAUUCCUGGUGUAGCGGUGAAAUGCGCAGAUAUCAGGAGGAACACCAGUGGCGAAGGCGGUGGUCUGGGCCGGUACUGACGCUGAGGAGCGAAAGCGUGGGGAGCGAACAGG